CCGCCCGCGUUCCCAAAAGAAAAACCUAGAACCCCCGUCAAUCUCUUCCUCUUUCUCUCUGGCGGCUGAGUUCUCAUUGAUCCCUCCUCCUCCGCCUCCUCCUCUGCCUCUGACGCCGCCUCCGACGCCGCCUCCGACAUGGAAUACCAACUUUUCUUCCUGUUUGGUCUUCAUCAUAUAGCAUUUAACUGCUAGUUUUCAUGUCUUACAUGUUUCAACAUAUUGUUGCUCUUGGCUUCAGUGUUACUCUCCCUUUUUUCUCAUAUAUACAGAUACAAAUGUCAGGUUACUGAUCUCGCUUUUUCAAGAUUUCAGAUUGCGUGCAUAUGGUCGUCCUUAUCUUGCAUACCAUCCUGGUCUUCUAAGAGAUACCUUGGCAUUUCAUGGUUGUGCAGAACUUUUUCAGGUGUUUGGUAUAUUGUGUAUGAGAGGAAUUUGUGCCUUGACAUCAUGGAUAACGCGCCACAAUGCCUACUCUUCAAAGCCUGCCUUUUGUUUGUAUUGCAAUGCAUGCCAGCCUCGAUUAUUUGAAUUUGGAAUUGAAUGUAGCACUCUUAAACUUAUAUGCUUGGGUCUGCAAUUCUAUCCUUUUCUUUUCGUUU